rnacentral:rRNA from 1 species
GGCUCAGGACGAACGCUGGCGGCGUGCCUAAUGCAUGCAAGUCGCACGCACGGAGCUUGCUCCGUGAGUGGCGCACGGCUGAGGAUCACGUGGGAACCUGCCACCUUGUGGGGGACAACAGCGCGAAAGCGCUGCUAAUCCCGCAUACGCUGGGCAACCAGGAAAGCGGCAACGCGCAGGGUGAGGGGCCCGCGGCCCAUCAGGUCGUAGGUGGGGUAACGGCCUACCUAGCCGAUGACGGGUAGCUGGUCUGUGAGGACAGACAGCCAGACUGGGACUGAGACACGGCCCAGACUCCUACGGGAGGCAGCAGCAAGGAAUUUUCGUCAAUGGGCGCAAGCCUGAACGAGCAACGCCGCGUGGAGGAUGACGGCCUUCGGGUUGUAAACUCCUUUUUCGGGGGACGAUGAUGACGGUACCCCGGGAAUAAGGCUCGGCUAACUCUGUGCCAGCAGCCGCGGUAAUACAGAGGAGCCAAGCGUUGUCCGGAUUGACUGGGCGUAAAGCGCACGCAGGCGGACGCGCGCGUGGGGUGUGAAAUCUGGCCGCUUAACGGCCAGGCGCCAUCCCAUACGGCGGGUCUGGAGCUAUGCAGAGGUCGGUGGAAUUGCCGGUGUAGUGGUGAAAUGCGUAGAGAUCGGCAGGAACACCCAGGGGGAAACCAGCCGACUGGGCAUAGGCUGACGCUGAGGUGCGAGAGCGUGGGGAGCGAACCGGAUUAGAUACCCGGGUAGUCCACGCCGUAAACGAUGGCCACUCGGCCUUUGGGUGGGGAACCUCCCCGCCUGGGGGCCUUAGCAAACGCGGGAAGUGGCCCGCCUGGGAACUACGAGC